AGUGUUUAUAUCGUUCAGACUCACACACUUUAUAACACACUGCUGUUUACCACGGUACAAAACCAGCAAACACAAUGAAUCUCUUCAGCAGCUUCAUCUGGAUUCUGACAGCUUUUCUUCCAGCAGCAUCCAGAGGAAUCACUGUGACUCAGCCUGAAGUUCUGACUGUUUCUGAAGGACGAGACGUCACUAUAGAGUGUAAAACUGAUCCUGGAAUAGCUGGCUGGGGUUUAGCUUGGUAUCAGCAGAAACCUGGAGAAACUCCUAAACUCAUGAUUACUGGAGUAAACGAUCGCUAUGGUAACAGUUUCAGUCGAUUCAGUGGGAAUGGAGCAGGAGGUGGAACAGAUUUCACUCUGAGCAUCAGUGGAGUCCAGACUGAAGAUGCUGGACAUUAUUACUGUCAGAGUUUUCAUUGCAGAACAAAUUCUUAUGGUGGUUGUGUGGGUGAUCGUGUGUUCACACAGUGAUUGUGUGUCGUACAAAAACCUGUGUCAGUCAGAGUCACAGUGACUGAACUGAUGCUGCAGCUGAUCAAACACUAUCACACACUCUACAGAGAAGAAACACAAUGUUGAGCUCCAUCAUUCUUUUUUAAGAUUAUUAAAUGUAUUUUUAU